rnacentral:lncRNA from 1 species
CGUGAAAGAGACAAAGUAUCCAAUUUUUGAAGUUUGGAGAAGUGCUGAAAAUUGACAACACCACUCAAGUUGUUUGAUGAAAGACAUAGUGUAGCUAGGUUUGCAAAGUUGAAAAUAGAUUCUGGAAUAUCUCCUUGUAGUUUGUUGCUGCAUAGUUUAAGAUAAUACAAAGAAUAUGAUGAAAUGACACUUAUAUUUCCUGUAAAUUGAUUAUUUGAUAGAUCCAACAUUCCUAAAGAUGGUAAAGAUAAACACCACGAAGGAAUUUUUCCACUUAGUAAGUUGUUAUUCAAAAAUAAAUAACCUAAGUUUUGGAACCCUGAUAUUUCCUCAGGUAGAGGACCCUUUAAUUUAUUAUUAGAAAAGUCUAAGUAAUCAAGUUGAGAUAACCUAAACAAUGAAGGUGGAAUUUGCCCUUCUAAUCUAUUAUAACCCAGACGGAGUUCUUGUAAUUUGGUUAGUCCGUCAAACACAUCUGGAAUUUGACCACUAAAUGAAUUGGAAGACAGGUCUAAAUUGAUAAGAUGUUGAAGGUUUGAAAGUGAUUUUGGCAACUGGCCAUCAAUUUUGUUACUACUCAAAUCUAACUUUUGAAAUCUAUUUGAUUUGGGAAAUACAUCCGGGAUUUGACCACUUAUGAACAAAUUAUCUUUGAGAGACAAAGAAGUUAGAUUUUGUAGGGUUAAAAGUGAGGAUGGGAUUGAACCAUUAAGUCUGUUAUCAAUGAGACUUAAGGAUGUAAGAUAUGUGAGGUUAGAGAAAGAAAGAGGAAUUGGCCCUGUGAAUGAACAAUAUGAAAGAUCCAAGAUUCUAAGAAAAGUGCUACAACUUAAAUUUGGAAGUUGGCCUUCAAGGUAGUCAUUUUUUGAUAAAUCUAACUCUUGAAGACUCGGUAAACAAAGAAUGUUGUUUUUCCAAUUUCCACUUAUUCCUGAUCUUUGAAGAUUAAGAUUAGUCAAAGAGGAAGAUUGAUUGAAUAUCAAAUUCAACGAGUUUGGAUGGAUUGAAGACAUAUUUGUUUCAUCCAAAAUUAACUCUUCCAAAAUUGUUGCAUUUUGCACAAGGCUUUUCAAAGUGGUUUCUUUCCAACUUAACUGACCAUUUCUAGAAAGAUGAAGUGAUAUUAAUUUGGAAAGGUGUGAGAUUUGAGGAGGAACUUCACCUUGAAAGUUACAUGAAGACAAGUCAAGAUGUGUAAGAUUCUGAAAUCCACCAAACUUAGAAUGAAAAUGAGUGCCAAAGAAAUCAUUGUAAGAAAGGUUGAGUGAUUGUAGGUGAGAAAGCUGAAAAAGGGUACUAUUAGAAUAAAUAUUACCUUGAAGACUUUCACAUCCAAGGUCGAGACCAAUCACAUUAGCAGAGACAGUAUCACAGGUGACACCAUGCCAUGAACAACAAUUUGUCCCAUUUUUCCAUGUUGAUGUUUUUUGAGGUUGUUCCUGACAAGCAUAGUUUGUAUAUGUAGUGAAUGAGGACUUGAAUUGAAGCAAGGCAUAGCUAUCUUCAGGAUGACAUAAGAAAUUAGAAGAAGAUAAAGAAAAUGAUGGAAAAUUGAAGAGCAAAAUAUGCAAAUACAGAAGAAACAACCUCAUGGUGGUGAAGUUAUUUUAAUUGAAUUCAAAUAUUUUGUGAGAAGGGUUAAAAGUUUAUUGCAUGAAAUAAUAGGAAGACAGCAUUAAUAUAUAUAUAUAUAUAUGUCACGACCCAAUCUCGGAUCAUGACCGGCGCACAAGCUAACACUACCUCAUCAUAUCGUAAGCCCGUGCAAGCCUAAUACACUAGCUAUAAUCUAUACACUAUAACAAAUAUACUUAUUAAAAUAUAUAGUUACUGAAAUUAUAGCUCGACAGGGAGGAUCCCUGGUCCUACGUAUCCCUUAACAAUUAGGGAAUCAGAGCCACGUAGUUCUCUAAGUGUUGAUUAACUAUCAACAAAGUAUAUAUAAAAAAACUAUCUCAUUUCAUUCUAUACACAUAGACCACAUUAUCUCUUCGUUGUGGUGAACGGAUACCUAUACCACAUUAUCUCUUCGUUGUGGCGAACGAAUACCACAUUAUCUCUUCGUUGUGGCGAACGGAUACCACAUUAUCUCUUUGUGGUGGCAAACGGAUACCUAUACCACAUUAUCUCUUCGUUGUGGCGAACGGCUAUACCACAUUAUCUCUUCAUUGUGGCGAACGGUUAUACCACAUUAUCUCUUCGUUGUGGCGAACGGAUACCUAUACCACAUUAUCUCUUCGUUGUGGCGAACGGCUAUACCACAUUAUCUCUUCGUUGUGGCGAACGAAUACCACCUUAUCUCUUCGUGGUGGCGAACGAAUAUCUACUUAAAAUAUACUAUGAACAAUUGUUCAUAGGCUGCAAACGGCUAAUUUUAUAUUCACAAAAAUGUGUCAAAAUAUACUUUAAAACAAAUUGCAUAACUUAAAUCAAUUCGCGGUAUCGUAACAACUUCUAUAAAGCCACAAUUUAUUUAUUUUUACUACUUUGCACCACCAAAAUCAAAUCUUUAAAGUAAAUAAAAUAAUGAAAUGAGUUUCACUUUUUAAGAAAAUUUGUUUCUCUCAUAAAAAUAAUAACAUAGAAAACUUUGCCGCAAGAUAAAUUNNNNNNNNNNNNNNACUCACAAAAAUAUGUAAUUAUUCUCGAACCACAUGUUCAUUCUUAUCUUUUCUUUAGUUAUAAAUUAAAAGGAAGCCAUGCUCAUUGGGAAAAAGUAUCUAUAAAUAUUCUUCUAAUUCUCUAUUCAUUUUAAAAUGCGGAAUUUUACCUCCUCUAUUUUAUAAUUUGUUGGAUUUUUCCCACCACCAAAUUUCUGCACAAAAUCUGCUUCUGAGCCUCAAGUUCAAAGUUUUGCACAUAACUCAAUUUGGAUCAAUAAUUCACCAAACUGGUACCGAAAUAACUGUAAUCAAUUUAGUUACAGAGAGAGAUUAAUUACACUAAAUUUGGAGUUACAGAGAGAGAUUAAUUACCGUUUUAGUGAAUGUCUGUUCAAAUGAAUUAUCGUAUGAAACUACUACUGGUUUUUUCGUCAUGCUUCUCACCCUGUAGUUCAUUUUUUAAUACUAUUUACAUGUAUGGAAAGAUAAAGAAAUUACCCUUGUUGGCGUUUCAAUUUCGUCGAAUUUGGAGUUACGAUGCGUUCGGUAGACGAUGUUGAAUUUGAAGAUCACAAGUAGAUUUCUGCAGAAUUAGUAAUUGGACAGACCUUCACUAAAACGGUAAUUAAUAUCUCUCUGUAACUCCAAAUUUAUUGGGGUUUGAUUCUGUGGAAAUCUAACUCGAUUACGGUCGUUUCGGUAUCAGUUUUGUGAAUUAUUUAUCCAAAUUGAGUUUUGUGCGAAGCUUUGAACUUGAGGCUCAGAAGCAGAUUUUGUGCAGAAUUUUGGUGGGGGGCAAAAUCCAACAAAUUAUAAAAUAGGGGGGGUAAAAUUCCGCAUUUUAAAAUAUGAGGGUAAAAUUCCGUAUUUUUCAAAACAUGAGGGUAAAACUGCAUUUCCAUACAUGUAAAUAGUAUUAAAAAAUGCCAACAAAUCUAUGAAAGCGGUUCACCACAUAAUUCAUCCGACCUUAUCUAUAUAUCAAUCCCAAGCAACAUACAUGUCCAGUCAAGUCAACAUCAAAGUAUCCUGCUGCUGAUGCACUGUCAAGAAUGUAAAUGAGAUAAGAUAUUAAAUAUCAUCAUAUAGAUAUCUAUCUAUGAAGAUAAAAAUUGGUGAUUAGAAUUCACAAACAAGUUUUUAUAGAUAUAUAAUGAGAUUUUCUUUUGUCACUGUAUCAAUUUCCCGCGCACCCUACAAGUUUCCGUUUUUACCAUUCCACUACUUAAGUAUUAGAUGUUAUAAAAACGAGAAAUUUGAGGAAAAAACACCCUACAUAAAAUUCAAGAUUUUAAACGUCAGCUACUAAAGUAGCCGAUAGAAUCCGCUACUUAAGUAGUGGAUUUUGUAGGGCAUGGGUAAGGUAGCAUUUGAUAUUUUGUUUCAUCUGAUUUUUAUUACUUGAGUGAUUUUGUUGCUUAUUUUCUGUGACUUAGUAUUUAUCAUUAAUUACAAAUGAUUAAUAUUCACAAUGCCUAACACCUGAUAUGCAAUUGUUGUGGCAGCAUAUCAAUCAUCAAAAAGGGAAUCAGGGCUUUGCUCUCAGUUCUAAUCAAAUAGUUAUUGGCAAGGUCUUUCUGAGCAUUUCUUGAUUACACAUUUAAUGUCACAUAAGCAAUUUAUUGGUUAGCUAACAACAAAGGUGGUUCGGUAUCUUCAUAUUCAUAUAGCAUCAAGAGUUUCUAUGAUAUGUCAUGUAAAUUGAUUCAAUGUAAAUUGACAUGUCAUGUAAAUUGCUCUAUUUUACAACUUACCAACUAUCAUUCUUAUUCAAUCUCACCUAUUUCUCAACUUACGAAUGAUCAUUCUGUUUGCGACUGAUUUUUAUUUAAAACAUUCAUGCAAUAAUGUUUGCUGUGACAGAUGACAUUUUUGUUAUAUCUUCCUGUAACUAAGGCGCGACAAUGCUUCUAUGUACUGAACAUAUAAAUGAUGAUGCAUGUGUGUGAGGUAAAAACAAAAUGGUAAAAACAAAAUUUUGAUGUCAAUGCAAAACUAGUGUACACCAUGGAUAGAACUAUUAUGUAUCAUUGGCUUCAUACAACUCGUGUUGUAGCACAAUACAGUCACUGUACAAACAUACAACAACCUGAAUUAAAACUAGCUAGAUCAAAUAAGAGUGACAACAUCGUCACACUCAAAUCAAGCUAAUUUUGAACAGUAGGUAAAAACUAACAUAGUAGCGAAAAUAAUGACAACAAUAAAACUACGACAUUGGCACCAUUUGAUUGAUCGUUGAACCAUUAGUCCUCCUCACUCUAGUCCUCCUCCUGUUCAUUCUUCUCGUAGGCUGACCACCAAAUAUCAUCACAAGCCAUCUUGGCUUUCCAAUUAAAAACACAAAAUAUCCAAUUCCUAUUCCAAUCACAAAUCUACAUCCAUAUCCAAUUGCCACUGGUAUCCAUCCAAAUCCAAAUUUCUCUUCACUCCAAAAGUUGUUGGCUGAAGGUGGAGAAUGUUGUUCCAGUCCACAUUUCUCGGUCAAGGGAAAUCCACAUAAUCCUAUGUUUCCUUCAUAGGAAUCAUUUGAAAAUGUAUUGAACUGCUUACCUCGAGGAAUUUCUCCCAUUAGAUGGUUAUGGGAAAGAUUCAAGACUUCAAGAUUGUUAAGAUUGGUUAACUCUGCAGGAACCACACCAGUGAGUAUAUUUGAGGAAAGAUCCAAUGAUUCCAUGUUUAACAAGUUUCCUAUGGAUUGGGGAAUAGGACCUGUGAGCCUGUUAUGGGAAAGGUUAAGCCCUUUGAGUGCGUGAAGCUCUCCAAUAACAUUUAGAAUCUCUCCUUGAAACAUGUUUUGAGAUAAAUCAAUAUUCGCAAAGGCUAUUGGAAUUUUCACCAUCACAAUGUUGUUUCCUUUCACUGUAAUAGUCACAGAAUCAUAGUAUGUCAUGUCACCUACUUCCAUCCUUUGCAUGUAUUGCGAGCUACUAACCUCUACAACUUGAAUAACAUUUUUCAUGGCAUCAAAACUUUGUAUGUAAUCUUUUGGUAGCGGGCCACUGAAGUUAUUGCAUGAAAUAUCAAAAAUAAUUAAACUAGGAAAUGGAUUCUUGAUAUUUAUAUUAGCAACUGGACCAUACAACCUAUUCUCUCGCAAAACCAAUACUUCCAAAUUUUGCAUAGUUUGAAGCCAUUAUGGAAAAUGGCCUUCUAGUUUGUUGCCACCAAGAUUUAAUGCCUCCAAGUAUUCGCAGUUUGACAAAGAUUUAGGCAAAACGCCUUCUAAUAGGUUUCCAUUGAGAUUCUGUGUACGAAGGUCACAAUUCUUUGAAAAGUUACUUGGUAAAGUGCCAUAGAAUUUGUUCAUUUGUAGAUCCAAGACUUGAAGGGAUGAUAAUUUGGCAAGACAUUGCGGAAUGAUUCCUUUCAAAUUGUUGUGUGCCAAGUUGAGCAAUUCAAGUGAACUUUUAUUGCAAAUUGACAAAGAGAUGUCACCAGCUAGCAAGUUAAAACUAAGAUCAAGGUCGAUUAGGUUGUGCCAAUGAUUCCUUGUGAAUUGGUCCAUUGAUGUGAACAAGUUCUGAGAGAGGCCCAAAUAUUCUAAUGAAUCUAUUUCUAGCAACCAAUUGGGCACUCUUCCAAAAAUUUUGUUGUCGGACAAAUCAAGAUAUGUCAAACUAGGGAAUUUUCCUGAGGAUAAUUUUGAAAAUCCAAUAAAACCAGCAGAAGACAAUUCCAAUGUUGAUAGGAUAGAGAAAUUGUAAUUAACAUUGGAUUCAAAGUUUAGUGAUAAUUGACUAUUAUAUGAAAGAGACAAAGAAUCCAAUUUUUGAAGUUUGGAAAAGUCUUGAAAAUUGACAACACCACUCAAGUUGUUUGAUGAUAGACAUAGUAUAGUUAGGUUUGCAAGGUUGAAAAUAGAUUCCGGAAUUUCACCUUGUAGCUUGUUGCUGCAUAGGUUUAGAUUCUGCAAAGAAUAUGAUGAGAUUGCACUUAUAUUUCCUGUAAAUUGAUUAGUUGAUACAUCCAACACACUCAAAGAUGGUAAAGAUAAACACC